GAAAGGCCAAUCAAACCUGGAGAUAGCUGGUUCUCCCCGAAAGCUAUUUAGGUAGCGCCUCGGACGAAUACUACUGGGGGUAGAGCACUGUUAAGGCUAGGGGGUCAUCCCGACUUACCAACCCUUUGCAAACUCCGAAUACCAGUAAGUACUAUCCGGGAGACACACGGCGGGUGCUAACGUCCGUCGUGGAGAGGGAAACAACCCAGACCGCCAGCUAAGGUCCCAAAGUAUAGCUAAGUGGGAAACGAUGUGGGAAGGCUCAGACAGCCAGGAUGUUGGCUUAGAAGCAGCCAUCAUUUAAAGAAAGCGUAAUAGCUCACUGGUCGAGUCGGCCUGCGCGGAAGAUGUAACGGGGCUAAGCUAUACACCGAAGCUGCGGCUACGCACUAUGUGCGUGGGGUAGGGGAGCGUUCUGUAAGCCGUUGAAGGUGGCCUGUAAGGGCUGCUGGAGGUAUCAGAAGUGCGAAUGCUGACAUGAGUAACGAUAAAGGGAGUGAAAAACUCCCUCGCCGGAAGACCAAGGGUUCCUGUCCAACGUUAAUCGGGGCAGGGUAAGUCGACCCCUAAGGCGAGGCCGAAAGGCGUAGUCGAUGGGAAACGGGUUAAUAUUCCCGUACUUCUUACAAUUGCGAUGGGGGGACGGAGAAGGCUAGGUGGGCCUGGCGACGGUUGUCCAGGUUCAAGUACGUAGGCGGAAAAAUUAGGUAAAUCCGGUUCUUCAUAACGCUGAGAUACGAUGUCGAGCUACUACGGUAGUGAAGUCAUUGAUGCCAUGCUUCCAGGAAAAGCCUCUAAGCUUCAGAUUGUAAGGAAUCGUACCCCAAACCGACACAGGUGGUCGGGUAGAGAAUACCAAGGCGCUUGAGAGAACUCGGGUGAAGGAACUAGGCAAAAUGGUACCGUAACUUCGGGAGAAGGUACGCUCUUAUCAGUGAAGUCCCUUGCGGAUGGAGCAGAC
rnacentral:rRNA from 1 species